rnacentral:rRNA from 1 species
UACGAAAGGGGCUAGCGUUGUUCGGAAUUACUGGGCGUAAAGCGCACGUAGGCGGACUUGUAAGAUGGGGGUGAAAUCCCCGGGCUCAACCCGGGAACUGCCUUCAUGACUGCAAAGCUAGAGGAUGCGAGAGGUUAGCGGAAUUCCGAGUGUAGAGGUGAAAUUCGUAGAUAUUCGGAAGAACACCAGUGGCGAAGGCGGCUAACUGGCGUAUGUCUGACGCUGAGGUGCGAAAGCGUGGGGAGCAAACAGG